UUUUUCUUGGAGCAUGAAAAUUUUGCAUGUUUUGAGGAAGACAAAGGUAGUAAAAGGGUCCAAGGCUAUUUACAAGCAAGCAUCUGAGUUAAGAGAACAUGCUUUCCUGCUUCUCUUCAGCCAGAUUCGUCAUGUUCCUUUCAACUGAAACAGUUAUGAUGGCUGGCCACACACAGUGCCUGAGGAUGUGAAAAUGUAUUUCAAAAAGCAGCAAAGCCUCAUCACAGAGUUGAAUAAAGAGUGAGACUUGAAGUUGCUUGGGAAAAGAGAAGUUGCAAAAGAAGACAGUAAGUACUUAGUAAGAGGAGGCAAGGGUUAAGGCCUGGGACCACAGAACAGCUGGAAUAUGUUAAUUUUACAGGAAGGCAGCCCAGAGAGGCAGUGUGAAUUGCCAGCAGGUGGUUGGGAAUCACUGGAUAACUCAGUAGUGGGACUGGAAGUGGUGAGACUCUGCUUCUUACUGUGAUGACUCGACUAAUUUCACCAAAAGCCUGUU